rnacentral:rRNA from 1 species
UCCACGGAGAGUUUGAUCCUGGCUCAGGAUGAACGCUGGCGGCGCGCCUAACACAUGCAAGUCGAACGAGUAAGACGCCUUCGGGCGUGGAUAGAGUGGCGAACGGGUGAGUAACACGUGACCAACCUGCCCCCUCCU